AAGUGAUUCUCCCCGUCCCCACUCAAUAGCCGUGCCCACACGCGCCCCUCGACACAGACACAAACUACACGGGCACACGUAUCAGCGCUACACAGUGGCCCUCUCCUCUCCUCUCCGCCACCCAAAGCAUGUCGAAUCGGGUUAUUCUGCAAACCUUCGACGAGUACCAGAAGGCACGCGUCAGGUUCGUGCAGACGAUCGCGGACUUAGCUUCCAAGCCGGCUAACAUCGAGGCAUUGCAGCAUGCAGGUGUAAUGCAGCUGCUGCGCCCACUGCUACUCGACAGCGUGCCGUCGGUGCAGCAGUCCGCCGCGCUGGCGAUUGGCCGCCUCGCGAACUCUAGUGAGGAGAUGGCGGAGAACGUCGUUUCUGGAGAUGUGCUGACGCAGUUGGUGUACUCGCUUGGCGACCAGAAUCGCUUUUACAAGAAAUCAGCCGCGUUUGUGCUGCGCAGCGUGGCGCGGCACUCUCCGCAGCUUGCCCAGGCUGUCGCCGACAGCCAGGCGGUGGAGGCGCUCGUCGGCUGCCUGGAGGAGUUCGAUCCGACCGUGAAGGAGAGCGCCGCGUGGGCUCUAGGCUACGUCGCCCGCCACAACGCAGAUCUCGCGCAGGAGGUGGUGGACAAAGGCGCUGUACCGCCGCUGGUGCUGUGCGUGCAGGAGCCGGAACUGUCUCUGAAGCGAGUGGCGGCCUCAACGCUGGGCGAUAUCGCCAAGCACAGCCCAGAGCUGGCCCAGUCCAUUGUUGACCAGGACGCUAUCACUCACCUGGCGCCGCUCAUCGCCAGCAGCGACGCGAAGCUGAAGCGGCAGGUGUGCCAGUGCCUGGCGCAGAUCGCCAAGCACAGCGUUGAGCUGGCGGAGCUGGUCGUCGAGGGAGAGAUCUUUCCAAAGAUCUUCCUGCUGCUCGCCGACAGCGAUGAGGUGGUGCAGAAGAACGCGGCGACGUGCAUUCGCGAGAUUGCGAAGCACACACCAGAGCUGGCGCAGCUCGUGGUGAACGCCGGCGGCGUGGGCGCACUGGUGGAAUACACCACCACGACGAAAGGCAGCACGCGCCUGCCGGGCAUUAUGACGCUCGGCUACCUUUCCGCCUUCUCCGAGACGCUGGCACUUGCCGUCAUCGUGGCGCACGGCAUCAUGCCGCUGGCUGACGCGUUGGAGAAAGAGGCUGAAGACCACAUACGUGCCGCCGCGGCGUGGUCACUGGGGCAGCUCGGCCGCCAUAGCGCCGAUCACGCCAAGGCGGUGGCUGAUUGCAACGUGCUUCCUCGCCUGCUGGACGUGUACCUCAGCCCCAGCAGCUCCGACGACCUGCAGACGAAGAGCAAGCGCGCCCUCAAGGCUAUCAUCCAGCACUGUGUCUACUUGCCCGCCCUAGAACCGCUGCUGCACCCCGAUGCGCCGCAGGACGUCCUCAAGUACGUCUGUGGCCAGUACGCGAAGGUGUUGCCCACCGACGUGGCCGCGAAGCGCGAGUUCGUGGCGAACCGCGGCCUGGCCACGGUGCAGCGCAUCAAGGCUGAGCCGGGUAGUUCCCUGGCCGAGUCCAUCCAGAUCAUCAACAGCUGCUUCCCGCCGGAGAUUGUAGAAUACUAUUCGCCAGAGUACGCACAGACGUUUAUCGAGAAGAUCGAGAACUACCACGUGCAGCAGCACUAGCGAGGGAGGACGCGUCGCUGAUGCUCAGCCGCCAUUCGGCACGGCCACGCCAACUCACGCUGCUCGUCGUGCACGCACUCGUGACUUUUGGUGUUCCUCUGGUCAUUGCCUGCUCUGCUGUGCUGUCGGUACGCCGUCGCCAUCGAAGUGCUCCCCUUCGUUGCACAUUACUGUUUAUAUAUACACAUAUGGAUUUGGUGUCCGCCGCCUUAGAGUUGGCGGCUCUUGUGUGUUGUUGGGUGAGUCGUUGACGCUUGUGAUUUGUGUUCGAGUGCGUCUGUGUGAUGGGGAAGAAGAAGAGAGAGGAAGAGUGGUGAUCCUCUCCCCCCCUCCCCCCGUCUUGACAGUGCCUUUCUGCGCCUCGCCCCCUCCUCUUUCUCUCGCGCGCGCUGGUGCCUUCCCCCCUUUGUUGCCACAAUGUACAUAUACAUGAUGGACAUAAAAGAGCGAGAGGCAGAGUGUGUGUGUGUGUGUGUGUGUGCCACGCGGCGCUUGCCUUAGCGCCUCCCUGAAGCGUUCUUCGCCUCUCCUGGCGUAGGCGUCUCGCGAGGAGGGUUGGGGAGAGCGAGUGCAGCCGCACGCCGACCACGGUGACUAGUGCUUCUCUCCUCUCGCCUUGUUUUUUUUCUCGUUACUCCUAUGGACGCCGAUGUAAGUCAGGAAGCACACGCGCAUGUCUUUGCGUCUGUCUCACUCCUCCCCCCCCCGCCGCCCCGGCUCACAGGCACGUGCGCAGACACACGCGAUCGCUUUCUCUUCGGCAGUGCAGCUGCUCACCUCUUCGGCCCUCUUUCACCGCCUCCUCCCUCCCCUCUUCGUUUCGCGCGUCGUUAUCCUUUGGCGAUGGCUGCGCCCCUUCCUCUUCUCACCCUCCUCCUCGUCCUGACGCGCGACGUGAGAAAGGACAAAGGCGGCAGAGUGCGGAAGGGAGGAGGGAGAAGGUUGAGGAGGGGAGGAAGGGGGUGGUGGAGUCGUCUCCUCCCUCACUUUGGAUGAUGUUGUCUGUGCUGUGCCGUGAGCGGUGCGGAAAGGAAAGCAACG
rnacentral:misc_RNA from 1 species